GACAAAAAUCAUUUUGAUUGAAUCCUCAUCCAUAUUUUUAAAUGAAACGCAUGUGGGGCUAUUAGCUCAGCUCCCCGUCAGAGGCGGCUGCACCGCAGCCCUGCCAUAUGUUUGGCAGUGUUUGAAGCACCUGGCAUCCUCCACAACAGACAGGCACAUCUGAAUGGGGAGAAAUAUUAAACCAUCUCGCAGUUUCCUCUUCCAACUCCAGGGCUGUGACCUUUGGCAACCAUGCUGAUGAUCGGAAGAAUGGAGCAUCUGGACAUCAGGAGGAUAAGAAAGUUGGGAAGGAAGCUGGAUCUGCAAGAAAAAGCAACAGAACCCCAUCCUGUGAGGUCACUAAAUAUGCCUUUUGUUUAUGCAGAUGACCGAUAAAUUGGAUGUUUUAACAUCUAAUUUUCCUAAGUUGCUGCUGGGUUAAUGUGCUUCAGUUUCACAGAGGCCAACUUAGGAAAUUCUAUGCCAGUUUUCAUAGAUUCAAAGUGCUAUUGGCUUCUAAAUUAGAUAAACAGAGCUUCCAAAAAUUAUGUCAACUAUGUGUCAAGUUGGCAUAAAAAACAAGAAACACCCUGUGUCAGUGUCAUUUAAAUAAACAAGUUAGCAACUAGUCCUAAAGACCAUGGAGGGAGUAAUUUAUAAGGAUGUGAGUUCCCAACUCCAGGAUUCCAGUUCUCUGACCCAAACAACAGCACUCCCACACACUUGGGAAUGUACAUAUGAAAUAAGCAUGGGAGUGCCAGAACUGGAAAGCUGUAUCAAAAAGGCCAAAGACACAGGAAACUUCAGAUUUGGAUCUUGAUCUGAGAGGCUUUAGCCUCUUUCUAAAAUUAAGUGCAACUCCCUUGAGUUUUGGGGACAGUUCAGCAUCAUAUUGUGGGGAAGUCAAGGCGGAUAGAGAGAAAUUAAAUGGCAAAAGGCUCCCUGGAUGACAAGAAGGGAAGUGCUGAAGUGAAGAAGAUGCCUGUGAAGAUUGGGAUUUUUUUGGAUGGAACCAGAUGCAGGAGGGAACAAAGGAGAACUUGGAGAGAAUUGGUACGGGAUGAAUAAAGUGGAAGGAACUUAUGUCUCAUGAUGGCUCUCAUAUGCCAUCAAAACUUAGCUCAGCUUAAAUGAUUAAGGCAGGUUUGGCUCAAAUUUGCUCUGAAUAAAAAUAUGGAUAGUGAAUCCUGCUUUUAAUUUUGCAGAAACAUGUCCCAAAGAUUAUUGAGAUAUCAGUCUCAUUUUUUAACCAAGUGCCCUCUAUUAUAGCACAGACACUCCUCAGUUUCCCUGAAGAGAUAGAUUUCCUCUUUCGGUCUGUUUUCAAUCUUAUGAAAAAGUAGUUGUUCAUAUGAACAACCAAACUUCCAAACCUUUAAAGCUUUAUCUAUCACUGGUGUAACAGACUCUCAAAACAAAACACUCCAUGGGAAACAAUUAUUGACAUGCAUUUCUCAUUCAGUACACUGAUUUCACUGAGUAAAUAAUAAUGAUGAGAAACUUCAAAACAUUUGUGGAGCCCUAACACUUGUUUUAUUUUUGUAAACUCUUUAAUGUCUCUGUCAUUUUUAGAAGCCAUCAUUUCAGUGAAAAUUCAUUAUUAAAGGGUUUGACAACUUUCAGUAAUGAUCUUGGGAUGAAUGUAAUUAAUGAGCUAGAAAAAUCUUUAGGUUAUAUUAAGGUUGAGGAUUACUUGAGGAAUAUUGGAAAAAGAAGAAAGUCUUUCCCAUCAUUACUAAAUAUAUCCCAUGCAGUAAUAUGAAAGAUGCAACAUAUUGUAAGAGAAACCAUGAGAUGAGGUACUAUGGUUGCAGCUGUGGUUGUAACAGGGUUGCACACGCCCUCCAAAGAUCCAAAAAAAAAAAAAAAAAAAAAAAAAGGGAGAAAG